CCAAAAUGACUCUCUAGGGUUUUCACAUUUUGGUGCGAAUGGGAUGAUGGGGUCUUCCACAGCUCUCGGCCAUAGUAACGUUGGUCUCUUGGAGAGCAAGUAUGGCGGUUUGCUUUCACCGAUCCCUAGACCUAUUGAUUUUUUGGACAGUAAGUUUGAUCUCAUGGGAGUGAACAAUGACAAUCUAGUCAUGGGUUAAUCAUAGCCGUCGGAUAGAUAAAGAUGUUUGGUCAAGUUGACGUGGACCCACAAAAGGUAAUGUGGGUCCAAGGAUUUUGGAACCACCGACGCUUUCUUUUUUCCGUAUUAUAGUCCACCUAUACACUUAUUUAAUUACAUAGAGAUCAAUUUACAAAUAAAUCGUAAUGAAAGUUUUCACUUUUAUCAUGAUCACCAAAGCAACGCGUAUUAACUUUUCAAAAAUCAAAUUUUCUUUUAGAGUUUAAACUGGAAGCAAAACAUAUUGAUUGAGUAAUUUUCUGAACAAUUUUUAAAAAUGUAAGAAAUUAGGGAAUAUAGAUGAGUCAUGAGACUUAGAAUUACCCACCAUAUCGGCAUAUCUUACAUUCAUUCCAGAUAGAACAUUCAAAGAAAACUCCGCGGUUAAGCUUUAUUGCCCAUAGAAAAGUAAGAGUUACAAAUAGUCACAAAGAAGAAAAACAAAAAAACAAAAACAUGAAAACAAUUUAAUAAAACUAUUGAAUUACAAUUUUACGUACAUUAGUACGUGGGUUUAGAACUUAAGAUAAGACACCUGAGUUAUGGGAGAGCAAAAUGAAUGAUUAAAGUUCAUAUAGAUAAAAUGAACAAGGUUUAUGAAAUUAUUUGUUAAGUUGAAAUGAUAUUUUCUUAUUGGAAAUAGUAGUGUUAAACUAAAAAUAAAAAGUAAAAACCAAUUUGUAAAUGUGAACUUAACUAAGUACAGUAGAAGUGGUUUUGAGUGGAGACAGCAAUCCCGAGGCGAAGGGUCCUCUUCUUGCUUCCUUCUUAUUCACACCCCAACCCCCAAACUCUUCAUUGCCUAAUCUCCUCUCUUUCUUCUCUCUCUCUAGAUUUUGUUCAUGUAUGAACUUGUCUUAAAAUUCUGACUCUCCCCAACUAAACAAAACAAAACAAAACACAAUAUGGGUCUCACUUCUCUUCAAGUUUGCAUGGAUUCUGACUGGCUCCAGGUAUCUCCAGUUAGGCCUAGAUUAUAUGUAUUUGCGUUUGCAUUUACGUUUAAACUUAGUAUAUUUCUUUCAAAGAACAUAAAAUUGAAACUUUUAACAGAAUUAUUUUGUUAAUUGUAAUUUGUAAAUGUAAAAAACAUUUACGUUUACGUUUGACAUUUUUGUUUACACAGCUGAAAAAAAAUCUUUUAGUAGAUGUGAUUUUUGUUUCUUAUGAUUUUGUUUUUGUCUCAUGCAAACACAUGCAAAUGUCUCAUGUGCAAAAAAAUGGUAUGAAACAGUUUUUAGACCUCACUCAUCUCGAACCAUCGUUCUAAUUUGGCGUGCGAAACUUUAAAGGAAAACAAUUAUAUUGAUCUUAUACUGUUAACACAUUUUGAUAUGGUUAUGUGAAUCUUAAUAUUAGGAUGAGUCAUCAGGAGGAAGCAUGUUAGACUCUACAUCGACUUCUCCAUCACCAGCCGACAUACUAGCUGCUUGCAGCACUAGACCACAAGCCUCGGCCAUGGCUGUAGCCGCGGCUGCUCUGAUGGACGGUGGAAGGAGGCUGCGUCCACCUCACGACCAUCCUCAGAAGUGUCCUCGUUGCGAGUCAACACAUACUAAGUUCUGCUACUACAAUAACUAUAGUCUCUCUCAGCCUCGUUACUUCUGCAAGACUUGUCGCCGUUACUGGACCAAAGGCGGCACUCUAAGGAAUAUUCCGGUCGGUGGUGGCUGCCGGAAAAACAAGAAACCCUCUUCCUCUAAUUCUUCAUCCUCCACGUCUUCCGGAAAAAAGCCAUCCAACGUUGUUACCACUAAUACCAGUGACCUUAUGGCUUUAGCACAUUCUCAUCAGAACUACCAAAAUGACUCUCUAGGGUUUUCACAUUUUGGUGCGAAUGGGAUGAUGGGGUCUUCCACAGCUCUCGGCCAUAGUAACGUUGGUCUCUUGGAGAGCAAGUAUGGCGGUUUGCUUUCACCGAUCCCUAGACCUAUUGAUUUUUUGGACAGUAAGUUUGAUCUCAUGGGAGUGAACAAUGACAAUCUAGUCAUGGUUGAUCCUGGAAGUAACGGUGAUCAUCAUCAACAUCACAUGGGUCUAAAUCACGGAUUAGGUCUUAACAACAAUAACAACAACAAC
rnacentral:lncRNA from 1 species